rnacentral:rRNA from 1 species
CAGCCGCCGCGGUAAAACGAAGGGGGCUAGCGUUGCUCGGAAUGACUGGGCGUAAAGGGCGCGUAGGCGGCGGCCAAAGUCAGGCGUGAAAUUCCCGGGCUCAACCUGGGGGCUGCGUUUGAUACUUGGUUGCUUGAGUGGGGAAGAGGGUCGUGGAAUUCCCAGUGUAGAGGUGAAAUUCGUAGAUAUUGGGAAGAACACCGGUGGCGAAGGCGGCGACCUGGUUCAUAACUGACGCUGAGGCGCGAAAGCGUGGGGAGCAAACAGGAUUAGAUACCCGUGUAGUCCCUGUCUCUUAUAC